GAACGCUGGCGGCGUGCUUAACACAUGCAAGUCGAACGGAAAGGCCCUUCGGGGUACUCGAGUGGCGAACGGGUGAGUAACACGUGGGUGAUCUGCCCUGCACUUUGGGAUAAGCCUGGGAAACUGGGUCUAAUACCGAAUAGGACCACGCGCUUCAUGGUGUGUGGUGGAAAGCUUUUGCGGUGUGGGAUGGGCCCGCGGCCUAUCAGCUUGUUGGUGGGGUAAUGGCCUACCAAGGCGACGACGGGUAGCCGGCCUGAGAGGGUGACCGGCCACACUGGGACUGAGAUACGGCCCAGACUCCUACGGGAGGCAGCAGUGGGGAAUAUUGCACAAUGGGCGCAAGCCUGAUGCAGCGACGCCGCGUGAGGGAUGACGGCCUUCGGGUUGUAAACCUCUUUCAAUAGGGACGAAGCGUGAGUGACGGUACCUAUAGAAGAAGCACCGGCCAACUACGUGCCAGCAGCCGGG
rnacentral:rRNA from 1 species